GCGUUAAGUUGCAGGGUAUAGACCCGAAACCCGGUGAUCUAGCCAUGGGCAGGUUGAAGGUUGGGUAACACUAACUGGAGGACCGAACCGACUAAUGUUGAAAAAUUAGCGGAUGACCUGUGGCUGGGGGUGAAAGGCCAAUCAAACCGGGAGAUAGCUGGUUCUCCCCGAAAGCUAUUUAGGUAGCGCCUCGUGAACUCAUCUCCGGGGGUAGAGCACUGUUUCGGCUAGGGGGCCAUCCCGGCUUACCAACCCGAUGCAAACUGCGAAUACCGGAGAAUGUUAUCACGGGAGACACACGGCGGGUGCUAACGUCCGUCGUGAAGAGGGAAACAACCCAGACCGCCAGCUAAGGUCCCAAAGUCAUGGUUAAGUGGGAAACGAUGUGGGAAGGCCCAGACAGCCAGGAUGUUGGCUUAGAAGCAGCCAUCAUUUAAAGAAAGCGUAAUAGCUCACUGGUCGAGUCGGCCUGCGCGGAAGAUGUAACGGGGCUAAACCAUGCACCGAAGCUGCGGCAGCGACGCUUAUGCGUUGUUGGGUAGGGGAGCGUUCUGUAAGCCUGCGAAGGUGUGCUGUGAGGCAUGCUGGAGGUAUCAGAAGUGCGAAUGCUGACAUAAGUAACGAUAAAGCGGGUGAAAAGCCCGCUCGCCGGAAGACCAAGGGUUCCUGUCCAACGUUAAUCGGGGCAGGGUGAGUCGACCCCUAAGGCGAGGCCGAAAGGCGUAGUCGAUGGGAAACAGGUUAAUAUUCCUGUACUUGGUGUUACUGCGAAGGGGGGACGGAGAAGGCUAUGUCGGCCGGGCGACGGUUGUCCCGGUUUAAGCGUGUAGGCUGACUUUCCAGGCAAAUCCGGAAAGUUAAGGCUGAGGCGUGAUGACGAGGCACUACGGUGCUGAAGUGACAAAUGCCCUGCUUCCAGGAAAAGCCUCUAAGCAUCAGGUAACAUCAAAUCGUACCCCAAACCGACACAGGUGGUCAGGUAGAGAAUACCAAGGCGCUUGAGAGAACUCGGGUGAAGGAACUAGGCAAAAUGGUGCCGUAACUUCGGGAGAAGGCACGCUGACAUGUAGGUGAAGCCCCUGCGGGUGGAGCUGAAGUCAGUCGAAGAUACCAGCUGGCUGCAACUGUUUAUUAAAAACACAGCACUGUGCAAACACGAAAGUGGACGUAUACGGUGUGACGCCUGCCCGGUGCCGGAAGGUUAAUUGAUGGGGUUAUCGCAAGAGAAGCUCCUGAUCGAAGCCCCGGUAAACGGCGGCCGUAACUAUAACGGUCCUAAGGUAGCGAAAUUCCUUGUCGGGUAAGUUCCGACCUGCACGAAUGGCGUAAUGAUGGCCAGGCUGUCUCCACCCGAGACUCAGUGAAAUUGAACUCGCUGUGAAGAUGCAGUGUACCCGCGGCAAGACGGAAAGACCCCGUGAACCUUUACUACAGCUUGACACUGAACAUUGAGCCUUGAUGUGUAGGAUAGGUGGGAGGCUUUGAAGCGUGGACGCCAGUCUGCGUGGAGCCGACCUUGAAAUACCACCCUUUAAUGUUUGAUGUUCUAACCUGGCGCCGUGAUCCGGCGUGGGGACAGUGUCUGGUGGGUAGUUUGACUGGGGCGGUCUCCUCCCAAAGUGUAACGGAGGAGCACGAAGGUCAGCUAAUCCUGGUCGGACAUCAGGAGGUUAGUGCAAUGGCAUAAGCUGGCUUGACUGCGAGAGUGACGGCUCGAGCAGGUGCGAAAGCAGGUCAUAGUGAUCCGGUGGUUCUGUAUGGAAGGGCCAUCGCUCAACGGAUAAAAGGUACUCCGGGGAUAACAGGCUGAUACCGCCCAAGAGUUCAUAUCGACGGCGGUGUUUGGCACCUCGAUGUCGGCUCAUCACAUCCUGGGGCUGAAGUAGGUCCCAAGGGUAUGGCUGUUCGCCAUUUAAAGUGGUACGCGAGCUGGGUUUAGAACGUCGUGAGACAGUUCGGUCCCUAUCUGCCGUGGGCGCUGGAGAAUUGAGGGGGGCUGCUCCCAGUACGAGAGG
rnacentral:rRNA from 1 species